CAGCUGCUGUCACUCAACACUUGUCUGCUUUAAAAAUGUCUUCUUAUUCCAGGUACAUUCUGUAUAAAGCCCUGUAGGUCAGAGCUACAUCUACAUUUCCACCGAAGGGGAAGAAAUAAUAAAUAAACCUAUUGGUGACCCUGAUGGAGUCCUGGCCAAAAGCCUCUCCCCCCUGUUCGAGAAAAACCUGCCGAAAGGCUUCAAGUACCUGUUCUACAACGACCAGCUUCCUCCUGACGGGAGAUCAGUCAACGAAAACUAUGGCCACAGUAAAGGUGUGGUUCUGUUGGAUGAGACGAGGGCUCUGUGGAUCACUCACAGCACUCCGAGGUUCCCCUUCACAAGAGAACGGGACACCUUUUGGCCUGACAGUGGGAACAAGAACGGCCAGACCUUCAUGUGUGUGAACAUUGCACGCAACCAGCUCGACGUUAUAGGUAAUCAUCUGAAGAACAUCCAUGCAUAUGUAUUUAGUCAAAGCGAUCCUGGCAUUUUCCCCAAAGACACGGAUAAAGCUCCUACACUCCCAGUCUUCCAACCUCUGCAGGUCAACAACAAGAAGAACCUCUGGGUUGUGGCCAAGGGGACAGACUCUUUGGGUAAUGCGAAAGUUGGAGACCUGUACGUGCAGCUGAGUCAUCACUUCCAGAGUGAAAUCUAUGCAAAGACCUGGGGCUGCGGGCCAAAGGACAAGAGCUACUGUGAAGAUAACCAAUACAAAGUCAUGAGCGUGAUAGAGGUGACGACCAGUCUGAGGGACUGGAGUUGGACCCAAGACCACUCCAAAUGGGCCGUGACUACAGACAACAACAUCCACUGGACCUGCAUCGCCGACAUGAACCGAGCUCCGUCCCAGUACAAGAGACCGGGAGGAGCUCUAUGCAUCCAGGACGAGAGGGUGAACGUUCUGUUCAAAGGGUUCAAGAAGGAGCUUCUGCAGUGUAGCGUCAAUCCAAAAGAGUGUGGGGAAAACAAUGACGUGGACUUUCAGGAGAUGAAUCUGAAAAAACACGACGACCUUUAACUCCCGUCGCUGCAGAGCGAGUAAAGAUCAGGUGAUGUUUCUAAACCUUUAAGCUGAGGCGCUGCAGGUGAAGAGAGAAAACAAUUACAUUCAGAGAUUUCAAAUGAACAUAUAUUCAAAAUGUAUUUCACAUUCUCACAAAAAAAUAAUGCAUGAAAACGGCCAAAAUGUUCCAUAUUUACAGUGAUGAAAUCUUAAAGCUUAAAGACAUUUUUGUUUUGGCCCAAACUUGUUUCUAGCUCUCACAGUCCCUCCUGUGUAUUCACAUUGUUCAAAGAAUGUAAACAUUUCACCCAUAUACAGCACUGAGUGGUGACAAAGUGAAGCAGGGCGGGGCCACCCCUAAGAUAAAUUACAUUCAUUUAGAUCAGACUUUAUCAUCCAUCGCUCUAUAAAACUUUAGGUGAAGACAAAACAACAAGGUCUGUGUUUGAAACAGACUCUGAGGCAAAAACAAAUGUAUUUUACACCAAAAAAUCAGGUACCCCGACUUUAAUAAGAGGUUUGAAUGUGUGGUUUUAUUUUGUGAGAUAUUAGUUCCCAAAGGGAUUUAAAACUAAGCUGUUAGUGGAGAAAUCUCUAAAUGUAUUUGCCGUAAAUCAGACAUUUUUCGUCCUCACCACAAAACUAGACGACUCGACUUUGACUCUUUUGACAAAUAAGUUGAAGUUGUGUUUUUAAAAUCAGUCGUCGUCGUUGAAAGUCUGGCGUCUGUAUCUCUGUAAAGUGCAGAUGUUAUUGCACCAACCAAAGAAAGUUUCCCAAAUAAAUCUGAGAGAAACGUUGAAUCAGUGAAUAAUUAAAGGGAUUUUUUGUUUAUUUGUUAGAGACUAACUGAGCCCAAAACCUGCAGUGUCUCGCCUUAAACAUCAGCAGCACAUUUUAUUAAACAUAAUAAAGUCACAUAUAGAGUUGUGUCAGGGAUAUAAACAGAUGUAUAUGUAUUACAGGGCAAUGAUGAGCCGCUCUUUACAAUAAUGACACUGAAAUAAAUCAAUGUAUGAAUUGUUUAACGUUGUUUAUGUUGAAACUGUAAAAUCAAAGCCUGUAUUUUCUGAUCUUAUUAUAACGACUCAUAAUCAAGUUUGUUUCAGUCAUUGUGAGGGAUUAAUGUCGGAUAAACUAAGUGUUAAAUCAACGGCACAGGCCACUUCAUUAUUAAUAUGAAUCGAUUUGUUUUAAUAAAAGCUAACAUGAAUGAUUCAGAAAGAAACUGUUCAAUCUGAGCAAAUAAAGCCUUUGGAAACAUGGAGAGGUCGUCCAGGGAGACUUUCCUUCAUAAACCCCUUAACCUAAAGCUUAUUGACUGGAGCCUAAAGGCCUCAUUUGAAAGCUAAGACCUACAAAAGUGAUCCUGACUUUUUUGUUGCGUUGUCGCUGUGUUUUUUGUCACACUCUUGAAGCCUUUUUGUUGUGUUUUCAUCCCGUUUUUUGUCGUGUUUUUGUCACUUUUUGAUUGUGUUAUUGAUGCUUUUCUGGCAUGUUUCUGUCGCUCUUUUGUCGCUUUGUUCAACUGUGCUUUUCCAGCUCUAAGCCCCGCCCCCGUGUUUGAAAUCGCCAUUUGUUUAACCUCUUAGCCCCCACAUGAACCGAGC
ensembl:lncRNA